rnacentral:lncRNA from 1 species
ACCACGCCGGAACCCUAAUUUAAUAAUUUUUUGCUUUUUUUUCGCUUAUCUUCUCCUACUUCCCUCCCUCUGUUCACUUCUAGCUUUCAAGUUCCCAAAACCCUUACUCAAACGCCUAGAUCUAAAAAAGGAAGAAAGAAAUUUAUACCUUUUGUUUAAGAAAUUGAUUCGGCUUUCUUGUGUUAACUUGGUUCGAAUCCGCUUUUGUGUGGCCGCGCGUCGGUCUUGUGUGUUGUAUUUUGAGCGUCGCUGGUACUGUAUACGGUUUGGAAAGAUUAUGUGUGGGCUUCGGCCUCUUCUCUGUGUCGCUCGUUGUUGUUGUUGUUUUCGUGCUUCUUCACUGUGUUGCUUGCUGUUGUUGUCGUUUUCGUGCUUCUUCACUGUGUUGUUUGCUGUUGUUGUUCUUGUGUUGUGCAGGCUCUAUAUUUAUAGUGCUGGGCUGAGGCUAGGGUUUGUUGAGAAUGAGCAGAAAAUCAGUAGCUUGGGGAGGAGAAAAGGGACGCGUUUCUGUUCGGAUUGGGAUGAAUGAAAUCUGGAUUGGGAAGGCAUACGCGCGUUUGGGAUUGGAUCCGCCUCUAAGGCGUGUGACAGGCUGUGUGGAUUGACGCGCGUGAACUUGGACCGUUUUAUGGACAAAAGAAAACAAAUAAGCAAUAAUAAUAAAAUGAAAGGAUGAGGACUAAAUGAUUUAGAUAAAAUAAAAAGAUUUAAAACAAAAUUUAAAGUUAAUUAAUUAAAAAGAAUUUAAUAAAAGAUGGAAACCUUAAAAAUAAAAAUAAAAAAAAAUAAAUAAAAAAAAAAUUGAGAGAAGAGGGCCCCACUCGGAAUCAAAAUGAGGUAUUUUAAAAUACCUCCCUGCCGAAUUUUUCACUGACAUGUGAGUCUGGUCCGAGUUCGAAGACGUGUGUCAGUG